rnacentral:rRNA from 1 species
UGUCCUACGGGGCGCAGCAGUAGGGAAUUUUCGGCAAUGGGGGGAACCCUGACCGAGCAACGCCGCGUGAACGAAGAAGUUAUUCGUAAUGUAAAGUUCUUUUAUCAGGGAAGAAAGAGGAAUUUGACGGUACCUGAGAAAAAGCAUCGGCUAACUCCGUGCCAGCAGCCGCGGUAAUACGGAGGAUCCGAGCGUUAUCCGGAUUUAUUGGGUUAAAGGGUGCGUAGGCGGUUUGAUAAGUUAGAGGUGAAAUGUCGGGGCUCAACCCCGAAACUGCCUCUAAUACUGUUGGACUAGAGAAUAGG